rnacentral:rRNA from 1 species
CCUACGGGGGGCAGCAGUGGGGAAUAUUGCACAAUGGGGGAAACCCUGAUGCAGCGACGCCGCGUGAGUGAAGAAGUAUUUCGGUACGUAAAGCUCUAUCAGCAGGGAAGAAAAUGCCGGUACCUGACUAAGAAGCCCCGGCCUACUACGAGCCAGCAGCCGGGGGAAUACGUAGGGGGCAAGCGUAAUCCGGAAUUACUGGGAGUAAAGGGAGCGUAUACGGCGGCGCAAGUCUGGAGUGAAAUCCCAUGGCUUAACCAUGGAACUGCUUUGGAAACUGGGCGGCUGGAGUGCAGGAGAGGUAAGCGGAAUGCGUAGUGUAGCGGUGAAAUGCGUAGAUAUUAGGAGGAACACCAGUGGCGAAGGCGGCUUACUGGACUGUAUCUGACGUUGAGGCUCGAAAGCGUGGGGAGCAAACAGGAUUAGAUACCCGGGUAGUC